UACAGGGGGUGCAAACGUUGCUCGGAAUUAUUGGGCGUAAAGCGCGCGUAGGCGGCUACCUAAGUCGGAUGUGAAAGCCCCUGGCUUAACUGGGGAAGUGCACCCGAAACUGAGUAGCUAGAGUGCGAAAGAGGGUCUCGGAAUUCCCGGUGUAGAGGUGAAAUUCGUAGAUAUCGGGAGGAACACCGGUGGCGAAGGCGGCGACCUGGGUCGACACUGACGCUGAGGCGCGAAAGCGUGGGGAGCAAACAGG
rnacentral:rRNA from 1 species